CCUACGGGAGGCAGCAGUGGGGAAUAUUGGGCAAUGGAGGCAACUCUGACCCAGCAACGCCGCGUGAAUGAUGAAGGUCUUCGGAUUGUAAACCUCUUUUGUCAGGGAGCAAAGGGCGCCACGUGUGGCGUUUUGCGAGUACCUGAAGAAAAAGCAUCGGCUAACUCCGUGCCAGCAGCCGCGGUAAUACGGAGGAUGCGAGCGUUAUCCGGAUUUAUUGGGUUUAAAGGGUGCGCAGGCGGAAUGUCAAGUCAGCGGUAAAAUUUCGGGGCUCAACCCCGUCGUGCCGUUGAAACUGGCGUUCUUGAGUGAGCGAGAAGUAUGCGGAAUGCGUGGUGUAGCGGUGAAAUGCAUAGAUAUCACGCAGAACUCCGAUUGCGAAGGCAGCAUACCGGCGCUCAACUGACGCUCAUGCACGAAAGCGUGGGUAUCGAACAGGAUUAGAUACCCGGGUAGUC
rnacentral:rRNA from 1 species